UAUGGUUCUUAGAUAUAGAAUAAUAUAACGUUUAGUAUUUAUCUUGUACUUAUUCAGUGAGGAAAAAAGUUACACUUUUGAAUAGGUAAAAAGAUUGUAUAAUUGCGGGCCACUCAAUUAAAAUCGAGGUGACUUUGGUCACAGGAGGAUCAUUAAAGUUUAAUUUGCUCUGACUCUAUUAAACGGAAGGAGAAAGCAUAGCAAUUGAAUCCGUAAUAACCAGAGCAAUUCCAUCUGGCCUGUGGCAGCAACAGGCUGUAGCAGGACCUGUGUCUUUCUUGGUGGGUUCCUGUGAGUACACCGCACAAAGAAAUGUCUCUGAAGUUUUAGAGGUGGGAUGAAAGAACAGUUCUUAAUGAGAGAAAACUUAACCAUCCAGUUUUCCUUGAAAGACGUUUGCACUGAUUUGUGGUAGGGACCGGAGUGUCGUUAAUAUAUAUUGUCCUCAUCAAGACACCACGUUCAACAAAAGUGUGGAGCGCAGGGGAACAUACUAAAUGCCAGUUCCAUGCUUCCGUCAGGAUUUGCAUCCGUGAGGCAGCCCUACUUAAUGUUGCUAAGAGAAAUGUAAGACAAUGAGACAUCUAUUAAAAGAGCUUUAAGCAUGGCUAGCCAGUUGCUAGUCAAUCGUAGGAAGAGCAGCCAUACUUUCCAUAUUAAAACAAUCAGGAUACAGAGUCUGAAAACAGAACGUCAGCUCUAAAAUUAGCACUGUCCUAGAAAAUAAUCUGGAAUGCAUGAUCCUCAUGCUUAUAGAACUGAAAUGUUUUCACCUUCAUAUGUGAAAAACUUACAAAAUGCCAAAAGAAGCCCAAUUUUUAAAAAGAUGUCAAGUUUAAAAAUAAAACAGAGGAGCAAUUCUCCCAGACAGAAAGAGCUGUUCUAAACUUUUUGGGGAUGGCUGUGGCCAAAAUACAACAAGGCGUCAGUGGCACAGGCACUUUUCUUUAGUCAAUAUAUACACUAAAACCUGCAAACUUUCUUCUGUUUCUCUCUUCCUCUCCUAGCAAAACUGCAGGUGAAACGCAAACUCUCGCCUCCAGCUCACGUGCUGCGAAGCCUCCUUUCAUCACUGCCUCCAGCUCCUUUACCCCACAUACUUUGAUGAAUGGUUGAAUGGAAGACUGGAAACUAGUGAGACGACCACAACGAGGACUAGAGGAGCAGAGGUGACAAACUUUAUUCACAUCACAGUUCUGCCCUGCGCUAUUCCUGGGAUUCAAAGAAAAAUAAUCCUGAUCAUCAAUGAGUGCUUUGUUUUAUUAAUUAUCAAUACAGAAUUUCCAUCUAAUCUGUCUUCAACAGGCACUCUGGUGAAUUAUUCAUUUUACGGAACUACCAAGGCAUCUUUUCGGACCUGUAACAAAUAUAAAGCCCCAACCAGCAAAUAAACCAAGACAAAAUCUCCCAAUUGCCUGGAAAAAAAUAAGGUAUUUUGUACUCUGAGCCAAAUUUCAGCCACAAUACCGCGGG